GAGUUCGCGGGAGAGUAAGUUAUUGCCAGGGUUUUUAUUUUAUACUUUAAACCUUGAAUUUAUUUUUUAAAUGUUUAUAUUAUUUGAAUAAAACAUUCAAAUAAUAUAAAAAAUAAUAUAUAUAUUGACAUGGAUUAAACAAAGAUAUAUAUUAUUUUAUGUUGUAUAAAUGAAAUUGGCAAAAUAGAGAUGGAAGAUAAAAAUAUGGUCAAAGUAAUAAGAGUCUAUGGUGAAUGCC
rnacentral:misc_RNA from 1 species